GCCUAUACAUGCAGUUGAGCGCUGAAGGUUGGUACUUGUACCAACUGGAUGAGCAGCGAACGGGUGAGUAACGCGUGGGGAAUCUGCCUUUGAGCGGGGGACAACAUUUGGAAACGAAUGCUAAUACCGCAUAAAAACUUUAAACACAAGUUUUAAGUUUGAAAGAUGCAAUUGCAUCACUCAAAGAUGAUCCCGCGUUGUAUUAGCUAGUUGGUGAGGUAAAGGCUCACCAAGGCGAUGAUACAUAGCCGACCUGAGAGGGUGAUCGGCCACAUUGGGACUGAGACACGGCCCAAACUCCUACGGGAGGCAGCAGUAGGGAAUCUUCGGCAAUGGACGAAAGUCUGACCGAGCAACGCCGCGUGAGUGAAGAAGGUUUUCGGAUCGUAAAACUCUGUUGGUAGAGAAGAACGUUGGUGAGAGUGGAAAGCUCAUCAAGUGACGGUAACUACCCAGAAAGGGACGGCUAACUACGUGCCAGCAGCCGCGGUAAUACGUAGGUCCCGAGCGUUGUCCGGAUUUAUUGGGCGUAAAGCGAGCGCAGGUGGUUUAUUAAGUCUGGUGUAAAAGGCAGUGGCUCAACCAUUGUAUGCAUUGGAAACUGGUAGACUUGAGUGCAGGAGAGGAGAGUGGAAUUCCAUGUGUAGCGGUGA
rnacentral:rRNA from 1 species